rnacentral:rRNA from 1 species
CCUACGGGUGGCAGCAGCGAGGAAUCUUGGUCAAUGGGCGCAAGCCUGAACCAGCGACGCCGCGUGGAGGACGAAGGCCCUCGGGUCGUAAACUCCUUUUGGGUGGGACGAAGAUCUGACGGUACCACCCGAAUAAGCCACGGCUAACUACGUGCCAGCAGCCGCGGUAAUACGUAGGUGGCGAGCGUUGCCCGGAUUUAUUGGGCGUAAAGCGCGCGCAGGCGGUCCGUUAAGUCCGUUGUGAAAGCUCCCGGCUCAACUGGGAGAGGUCUUCGGAGACUGGCGGACUCGAGGGAGGCAGAGGAAGGUGGAAUUCCCGGUGUAGUGGUGAAAUGCGUAGAGAUCGGGAGGAACACCAGUGGCGAAGGCGGCCUUCUGGGCCUUUCCUGACGCUGAGGCGCGAAAGCGUGGGGAGCGAACCGGAUUAGAUACCCGUGUAG